UUAUAAGUAUUGAUUUCAGAUACAUGUAUGACAUUGCAUGCUUGAUCGGGGAGGGGGGCUACAGUUAGAUAAUAUUCUGGUCAGCACAUUCGAUAAACUACAGUUGUACAUGGAACUCAUUAAAUCACUUCUUUUUCUUUCAGUGGUCUUCAACUUUUAAUCUCCAAGAAGGAAAUGUAAUUAAAAGAUGAGUAAAGUAUCCCUAAGAAUACCAGAAGAAAGGCUGUGUUGAGAAAAACAGCCCUUCCUCAGUACCUCAGAACUAGAUGAUAGCCCUUGUUACUUUAUGCUGAAUAUGACACAAUAUAGAAGAUCUGAUCAUGAAGAAGUUACACCAUUGAUACACUUGCCAACUGCCAAAACUACUUUCUGAUAGUAUGACGAGAUUAGAAGAUAUCAUGGUGUAGUCAUGACACAAACUGCAAAUCAAAGAUUGUCUUCCCCAGAGGAUGAACAGAGUGCUUCACAUGGAUAACAUUUCCUUUUCGAGUUUUGAAAUUAUCAAACAUAAUUUUGCAUCAAAGAGAAAAAGUGGCUUUGACAUAACCUAGAAAAUACAAUAUUCAUUAAAAAGAGCAUGGCACCAGGAUAGCUAGAUGCCCAUAUUCCCAGCAAAAUGAGCCAGUCCUAAAGAGAGUCCACUAGAGAUGAAAUAAAACUCAUUAAAAUGUAUUGAGAAAAGAUUUGUCAGAAUGUUAUGCAUCAUGAUCAACAGAAAAGAACUUCACAGGUAGACCAAAGCUGACAUGGGAUGAGAUCCUAAAACGAGACCUAGAGUUUAGAGGAUUGGAUAGGAUCAAUCCACUGGGUCGCCAAGUGUGGAAGUACAAACUUCAACCUCGACAGGACAGCCAGGCCUCAAUCUUGCAAAAAUAUUAAUUUGGCCUGGAUAGUCAAAAUGAGUGAUGAUGAUAUCAAGGUCUGACACUGUAAGCUCAGUAAGGGUAGAUGCUGGCAAUGGAGCUGUUAAGCAAUACAACAAACAGGUUUAACAUUGAACAUGUUUAUAUACUUUUUUAGCUCACCUGAGCCAAAGGCUCAAAUGAGCUUUUCUGAUCACCUUUGCCUGUCGUCUGUCUCUCUGUAAACU